GCCUGUUAAUUGUUUACCUUCCUGCAAACAAGUUAAUAGCGCAUAAACCAAAAUAGACAAAUUUAUUCAUGGCGUAAGAAGAUAAUCAUACUAUAACUUUAUGAUCAAAAGAAUAAAGAUACAAUUUUUAGAGAAAAGGAUACAAGGAUAAAUCUCACAAAUGCCCUUAGUUAACCUUGAAGUCCCUCAAUCGCCAGCGUUCUAAGUAACAUUCUGAAAAGCGUUUUGUGUAACUCAUUAUCCCUUGAUCUCAAGACCCUCCUUAUUUCUCCAUCAUUUUAGACUAGAAGACCCUUUUAGGUUUUCACUCCUAGGGUUCCUUUUUUUUUUUAGCUCUCUUUCUCGGGGCACCCUUCUGAGUUUUCACCCUUCACUCAUUUUGCAGAAAGCCCCCUUGUGGGUUUUCGCCUCCUUUCUCACAUUUUGCUAG
rnacentral:misc_RNA from 1 species